UGAAAUGAAACACAAUAGUUCUCUUCCUCUUGUUGCAGGAGGGGGAACAUACGGCUAUUUGUUUUUUCCCCUUUUUCUACUGUAUGGCAUCGGGAGACCCCUGUGAAAGAGCAGUUGAGACAACAGACGGAUAUGAACACACUCCAGCUGGAGAACGAUGAAUGGCCCAGGGGACUUGGACUGGGGGAACACGUGCAGACCCAAUCAACAGACAAUCCCGCGCGGCUUGAGGUUGCUCUGUGUUGCCAGGGAACAGUAGGGGUUCCAUAAGCGUUGGUUUAAGCGUCUGUGGUGAUGGGGUCUUUGAAGAUGGAGGAAGACAUCUGUCCGGAUGACAAGGACAGGACAAGUCAAUCUGUCUCACCUCAAGGACGGCUGGCUAUGGGGGUGGAUGAUAGCACCAGAAAAAAAUAUAUGUUCCUCAAAUACAUUAAGUUCUAUCAAGCCAUCCAGAACUAUAGUAUGUGAAAUGAUGUUUAAUCAAGUUACGUUGGAAAUUCCCACUUCCUGUGUUUAAGACAGAUGUAUGCAGUGGCCUAGCAGACAACUCUUUAAGAUCUUCGACAUGUGAUAAUCUUUCUUACUGUAGCUAUAUGCAGUAUUACUAUCUGUGUGUUUAGAGUCAAUGUGAUAUGAAGACUAACUGACUGCCCCAGGGUCAAAUCCCGCUCUUUAUAAACUGGGUGGUUCGAGCCCUGAAUGCUGAUUGGCUGAA